GACGAACGCUGGCGGCGUGCCUAAUACAUGCAAGUCGAGCGCUUCUUUCCUCCCGAGUGCUUGCACUCCAUUGGAAAGAGGAGUGGCGGACGGGUGAGUAACACGUGGGUAACCUACCCAUCAGAGGGGGAUAACACUUGGAAACAGGUGCUAAUACCGCAUAACAGUUUAUGCCGCAUGGCAUAAGAGUGAAAGGCGCUUUCGGGUGUCGCUGAUGGAUGGACCCGCGGUGCAUUAGCUAGUUGGUGAGGUAACGGCUCACCAAGGCCACGAUGCAUAGCCGACCUGGGAGGGUGAUCGGCCACACUGGGACUGAGACACGGCCCAGACUCCUACGGGAGGCAGCAGUAGGGAAUCUUCGGCAAUGGACGAAAGUCUGACCGAGCAACGCCGCGUGAGUGAAGAAGGUUUUCGGAUCGUAAAACUCUGUUGUUAGAGAAGAACAAGGACGUUAGUAACUGAACGUCCCCUGACGGUAUCUAACCAGAAAGCCACGGCUAACUACGU
rnacentral:rRNA from 1 species